UAUUCCAAGGCAGGAAUUUUGCUUAGAGAAUUGAGAGUACAGAAUCUUUCAACUGUAAUCCCAAAAGACACAUUAGUGAAACUUAGUUUUCCAGAAUAAGUGUGUUACUAAGCCUUUGGAGAAGGACAAUACUGACACAUCUUAAAAAAUAUUUAGGGAUAGAAAUGGGAGCCUCUGAUUUAAUUUUUCAAUUGCAUUUCACCAACCAGGACAAAAACCAAAUACUUUUACAUCUUCGGUGCGAAAUAACAUGUUUGCAGAAGAUGCUGUUUUAGUGUAGCUAACAAGCAGCUAUGAUGCCAGCCAAAAUAAAACUGUGAGCCAGACUGAGGUGGGGACAGAGGAUUGUGCAGUUGCACAUGGCAAGGAGAUGGAAUAGUCCUUCUACCUCUGAGAGCAAAGCCAGGUUACCAGAGCCUCGGUAGCAACACAGCCUGUAAAUACAGGUUGAUGGAGCAUUUAAACUUGGGGCUCCCGCAACCGACUGUCUAAGUGCGUAGGCUGCAAGAAGUCCUUCCUUGAAGUGGGGAAAUAAUCUCUGUGUACCCUGCGGGAUUAAAGGGCAUUUUAGUUUGCCCGGGAUCAGAAUAGAAGAGAUGGGGGAGGUGGGGAGAUAGCUCACACACUGCAGAUCAAAGAGCAAGAAAGAAACAACACUGGAUUAUGAGUACAGACAACUGGAUUAUGGGUCCAGACGUAAAAGGAGAAGUUUGGUUAGCAAAAAGAAAGGAGAGGACUGGGAAAAGAAAAACACAGUGUGACAUGUCAUUGUGUUCCACAGUGAGAAAGGACCAAGAAUCAGUGAAAACUGGUUAUUCUUAUUCUCCCUAGGCAGAAGUUCCAGUCAAGCCAAGGAAUCCAAGGCUGAUUGCCAAAGACCGGAGGUAAAAGACUCAAGAAGAGUUCAGAAGUUCAGGAAAAUAAAAGAGGAUUAUCAUUCAAGGGCCUGUGAGCCAGAGAAAAGGUGAAGUGGCAGAAGCCCUGGGAGAGGCUGGGGGUGGGGCAACUGUGGGAGGCACCGAGGGCGUGGGAGGGGAGAGGAGCCUCAGGAGGGUGAGCUCCACACAGAGGGGCAGAUAGGGAGACAGCGAGGGACCUGAGUGAACAGAGAGGUGGGCCAGCCUUUCUUCUGACAAAGCACCUAAUCAACCAAAUGAGCUCCUACGAACAGGUAACAGACCUGAUCACUGAGAUGUUACUAAGUAUCUCACCAGCAGGGAGUGUCCACAGCAUGGAGACCCUGGACAGAGGGAUGAUUCACAUCCUGGGUGUGACAGAGCAGGACAGCACAUGAUUUCAUCCCACUACUCAGAAAGGAUUACAAUUUAAAAUUUAUCAGUUGUUUGUUUCUGAAAUUUUCCAUUUAAUAUUUUUAGACCUCAAGGGACUGCAGGUAAGUGAAACCAUGGAAAGCAAAGCUGUGGAUAAGGGAGGACUCAUCUAACAGCAUUCUAUGGUGGCAAAAGCACUGGCUUUAGAAUCAGAGACUGGAAGACAAAUCUAUCUCCCCCACUGUGAGCUGCAUGAAUUUGGGGUGAGCUUUAAGCUAUACAUGCCUCAGUUUCUCCAUCUAGCAAAUGGAGAUGAUAAUAUCUUUCCUUAGGGAAGUGGUAAAACUUAAAGGACACCAUGCCUGGAAAGCACUUGGAACAGUGCCUUUUUCCUCUCUGUUCCCCUUCAGAAAAAGACUGGGUUAGGUUCCUGGUGAAGAGUCAGGACUGCUCCCCAGGGGAGAGAUCAUGACCAUGAGCUUUACAAUGACAAAGGGGCCUUUUCCACAAAAUCACUGGAUGUUAGAGCAGAGGAUCUGGAUGGGUGCAACCCCUGGGAAUACAGACAUGAGAAAAGAUUUCCCAGGAGAAGCUUUCCGUGGCAAGAGAACUGGAGAGAGAGCAGCAGGAUGUUAAUCCAACCUGGUUGACCAGAAGGCUCAAAUUUCAAACCUUCCAUUGGGAUUUGCUGGGGGUGGUAGCCCUGAUGGAGGAGAAGACAGAAGCUUCAGAUUCUUCCUGUUCCUCCAAAUGUCCAAGAUAAACAUGAGGCUCUUAAGCACCAAACAACUGGUGUGUCUCCAGCUCAGUAAGCCUCAUAGGCACUAUCCUGGGACGUGGGGCUACACGUCAGGAGACCUGGGGUCUCUGAAUCAUCAGUAAAGGCCCCUAUAUUAGUCUGUUUAGGUGGCUAUAACAAAGUCCCACAGACUUGGCAGCUUAAACAACAGAAAUUUAUUCUCUCACAGGUCUGGUGGCUGGAAAUUCAAGAUCAAGGUGUGCGUGGAGUUGGUUCCCUCUGAGGGCUGUGAGAGAAGGAUCUGUUCCAGGUUCCUCUCCCUGGCUUGUAGAUGGCCCUCUUCUCCAUGUGCCUUCACAUCACUUUCCUUCUGUGCAUGUCGGUGUCCAAAUUUCCCCUUCUAAUAAGGACACUAGUCAUGUUGGAUUAGGGCACAACCUAUUGACCUAAUUUUAACUUUAUUAUCUUUUUAAAGCCCCUGCCUCCAAAUAAAGUUGCCUUCUGCAAUACUGGGAGUUAGGGCUUCAACAUGAAUGUGUGGUGUGUGUGUGUGUGUGUGUGUGUGUGUGUUGAGGGGUGCAGUUUGGUCCAUAACAGCCCUUUACCCAAUUGUCCUAAAUUUCAUGAGCAUGGAAGUAAGGGGUGAGCUGCAACCCCCAGAAUCCUCCUGAUUUUAAGCAGAUUAAGGCUUAGAGUAGAACUGUGCAUCUACCUUGCAAAUGUACCUGAGUAUGUGACUGAGGCCAUGUAAUCUUUCCAGGUUGAAUUUUAUUUAUAAAGCAGAGAAAAUAAAAGUAACAUGUAUUUAUCUCCCCAGGUGUUUGGAGUCUUCUGUUAUGAUUGCGGUGAUGAUGCAUUGAAAAACCAAACAGAUUGGUCCUUAGGACUGACGACCCAGAGGUAAAUCCACCACCACCACCAUCACCACCACAAAACAAACACAAGCUUUCACAUCACGAGAAGAGAAAAUUAUGAUGCCUUCUUUAUUGAUGCUGUGAAAGGAAAAUGACAUUAGAGUCUAUUGAUUCUCUUUUGAGAUCUAAUAAUAUGCUUUAUUUAGGUCUUAUUCACAUACCACUUUUUCCAUGGGUCUUUCUUGGGAGCUGAAAUUGGCCAGUUACAAACAGAAUUGGUUCUGCAGUCCUUUGAAAUCACUGAAGUAGACAUGUUUUAGAACACAAAAGAUUCCAAGCUUUCUUUGGGAAACAA